AUUUGCUUUAUUUUUAUGAAUUUUUUUUCAUUUAUUUCUCUUCAGUGUCCCUUUCUGGCCCUGAACUCCACCUUAUCCCCAAGACGGAAACACUUGGUUCAGAUAAGUCAGAACUGCCUGGAAAUAGCACGGAACACUCCAGAGAAAGGCUUCAUUUGAGUAGGAAGCAACUGGAUCGAGUUUUGCUGGGCAGCUAACUCAGAGCCCUCUUCCAGAAUCUACUUUAAGAACAAUUCAUCAACAGAUGCUGCCAAGCUUCCUAGUGCACUAAAGCCAAGCUUGUAAUGGAACAUCAAGCAGCUGUGGAUGGUUAGAGGCAGCAAAUCGUUCCUCAGUCAUGGGCUCCAGGAUGAAGAAAAGAAAAUCAAUUCCGGGUGAAGUUGGAAGAGCAGUUACUUUUAAGGAAGGCAAUUUCUGAGGUCACGAGAUGCUCUCUUGGAAUGUUGGAUUGUGGGUGACCAUCUCCCAACAGCAAGAGGUUAUGGUGCUCCUGUCUGCAGAGGAGAAGGACAAAGAGGCAGAGGAAUCUCUCACUUCAAAUGAGAUUAGGGAGAUGUGUAAAAUGUGGGAAACAAUGCAAAAUUUUGUAGGAAACUGCUCGAAUAAGGCUGUAGUAGUGUGAGUAAUCAAUUUGUUUAAUGGCAAUGCAAUGUCACAUUUCUGUGAAAUCCUCAAAAGGAGGCAAAAGCCAGUAUCAUUGGAUAGGGUCCUUGUUAAAGUUGCCCAAAAAGAAAAAGAUUCCUUUGAACAGUGAUAGAUAACAAUAAUUUUGUUAGUGAUAGUGAAAGUCAUCCUACCCAAUAACCCUCCUCUCAUCUCCCCCACCUAGUCAUGAAGGUUUGAGGAGGU
rnacentral:lncRNA from 1 species